UGUGCAGUCACAGCUUGAAGCAGUGAUUGAACACCUGCUAGGAGGGCAGGGCCAACCCAGGGAAGCUCAGGUGUAUGCAGUGCACCUGAUUGACCAGAAAGGGUGGAGCCAGGAUCCACCCCUUCCCAGACCCCAUGUAAGGUUUGGCAGUGGAGACAAGGGUAUCUUUCUGGAGAUCCCUGUGUACCUGAGGCCCUCUAAGGCCUUCUCUUUUCCAGGUGAACAAGCCCAGUUCCUUCAGCCUGUCCUCAUAGGAGAGGUGCUUCAGCCCUUGGAUCAUCUUUAUGGCCCUCCUCUGGACCCCCUCCAAAAGCGCCACAUCUUUCCCAUGUUUGGAGCCCCAGACUUGGAUGCAGUAAUGCAGCUGGGCCUCACAAGGGCAGAAUCGAGGAGGACAAUC
ensembl:lncRNA